AUUGAACGCUGGCGGCAGGCUUAACACAUGCAAGUCGAGCGGGGUGAUGGUGCUUGCACUAUCACUUAGCGGCGGACGGGUGAGUAAUGCUUAGGAAUCUGCCUAUUAGUGGGGGACAACAUCUCGAAAGGGAUGCUAAUACCGCAUACGUCCUACGGGAGAAAGCAGGGGAUCACUGGUGACCUUGCGCUAAUAGAGGAGCCUAAGUCGGAUUAGCUAGUUGGUGGGGUAAAGGCCUACCAAGGCGACGAUCUGUAGCGGGUCUGAGAGGAUGAUCCGCCACACUGGGACUGAGACACGGCCCAGACUCCUACGGGAGGCAGCAGUGGGGAAUAUUGGACAAUGGGGGGAACCCUGAUCCAGCCAUGCCGCGUGUGUGAAGAAGGCCUUAUGGUUGUAAAGCACUUUAAGCGAGGAGGAGGCUCUUUUGGUUAAUACCCAAGAUGAGUGGACGUUACUCGCAGAAUAAGCACCGGCUAACUCUGUGCCAGCAGCCGCCGUAA
rnacentral:rRNA from 1 species